UGCAUGCACCGGCUGUAGACGGAGGACCGACGACUGGAAGCCCCGAACUCUCUCCGCCAACCUCUGCAAAUUCCGGCGUCUCCGACCACCUUCUGGGCCGUUUGUGUUCCACGACGCCGGCAGCUUUCCGGCUCUUCUUGGCUUCGUCCGGGCUUUGUUAAUCACAAAUUGUUGGGUUGAAUUGCGUCGAAGCCAUCAGCUCCUCACUAGUCGAGUUUUGGCAGUGAGUUUGGCUCGGUUGUAGUUGAUUACCGAAGGUAUAAUUCCAAACUUUGAAUUGGAAGAUUGCUCUGGUGAUGAAUUCGAAAUUGUGGACUGAAGAGCUUUUGAAUUA